rnacentral:tRNA from 1 species
GUCUUGGUAGCUUAAAACAAGCAUUGGUCUUGUAAUCCAAAGAAUGGAGGUUCAAAUCCCCCCUAAGACA